UACGGGGGGGGCAAGCGUUGUUCGGAAUUACUGGGCGUAAAGGGCUCGUAGGUGGCCAACUAAGUCAGACGUGAAAUCCCUCGGCUUAACCGGGGAACUGCAUCUGAUACUGGAUGGCUUGAGUUUGGGAGAGGGAUGCGGAAUUCCAGGUGUAGCGGUGAAACGCGUAGAUAUCUGGAGGAACACCGGUGGCGAAGGCGGCAUCCUGGACCAACACUGACGCUGAGUGAGCGAAAGCCAGGGGAGCAAACGGG
rnacentral:rRNA from 1 species